GGGCCUAUAGCUCAGUUGGCAGAGCAUCGGACUUUUAAUCCGCGGGUCGUGGGUUCGAGCCCCACUGGGCCCACCA
rnacentral:tRNA from 2 species